rnacentral:piRNA from 1 species
UUGAAAAUGUGCCUCCUGGAGACAG